UUGGUACGUGGUAUUCUGAGCUAUAAUGCUAAAAACCCCGACUUCGGGAGGGGUGUAUUUAUUAGAUAAAAAACCAAUGCCCUCCGGGGCUCCUUGGUGAUUCAUGAUAACUUCUCAGAUCGCAUAGCCUUGAGCUGGCGACGGUUCAUUCAAAUUUCUGCCCUAUCAACUUUCGAUGGUAAGGUAGUGGCUUACCAUGGUUUCAACGGGUAACGGGGAAUUAGGGUUCGAUUCCGGAGAGGGAGCCUGAGAAACGGCUACCACAUCCAAGGAAGGCAGCAGGCGCGCAAAUUACUCAAUUCCGAUACGGAGAAGUAGUGACAAUAAAUACUGAUACAGGGCUCUUUUGGGUCUUGUAAUUGGAAUGAGUACAAUUUAAACCUCUUAACGAGGAACAAUUGGAGGGCAAGUCUGGUGCCAGCAGCCGCGGUAAUUCCAGCUCCAAUAGCGUAUAUUAAAGUUGUUGCAGUUAAAAAGCUCGUAGUUGAACCUUUGGCCUGGCUGGCAGGUCCGCCUCACCGCGUGCACUUGUCCGGCCGGGCCUUUUCUUCUGGAGAACCGCAUGCCCUUCACUGGGUGUGUUGGGGACCAGGACUUUUACUUUGAAAAAAUUAGAGUGUUCAAAGCAGGCCUUUGCUCGAAUACGUUAGCAUGGAAUAAUAGAAUAGGACGUUGCGGUCCUAUUUUGUUGGUUUCUAGGACCGCCGUAAUGAUUAAUAGGGACAGUCGGGGGCAUCAGUAUUCAAUUGUCAGAGGUGAAAUUCUUGGAUUUAUUGAAGACUAACUACUGCGAAAGCAUUUGCCAAGGAUGUUUUCAUUAAUCAGUGAACGAAAGUUAGGGGAUCGAAGACGAUCAGAUACCGUCGUANUCUUAACCAUAAACUAUGCCGACUAGGGAUCGGGCGGUGUUUCUAAUGUGACCCGCUCGGCACCUUACGAAAA
rnacentral:rRNA from 1 species